rnacentral:rRNA from 1 species
AGAUUGAACGCUGGCGGCAGGCCUAACACAUGCAAGUCGAGCGGCAGCACGGGUACUUGUACCUGGUGGCGAGCGGCGGACGGGUGAGUAAUGCCUAGGAAUCUGCCUGGUAGUGGGGGAUAACGCUCGGAAACGGACGCUAAUACCGCAUACGUCCUACGGGAGAAAGCAGGGGACCUUCGGGCCUUGCGCUAUCAGAUGAGCCUAGGUCGGAUUAGCUAGUUGGUGAGGUAAUGGCUCACCAAGGCGACGAUCCGUAACUGGUCUGAGAGGAUGAUCAGUCACACUGGAACUGAGACACGGUCCAGACUCCUACGGGAGCAGCAGUGGGAAUAUUGGACAAGUGGGCGAAAGCCUGAUCCAGCCAUCGCCGCGUGUGUAGAAGUAAGGUC